ensembl:lncRNA
AGCCUGGAGUGCUUCGAAUAGACAUGACAAAAACAUGAUAUGAAUUACAUUGUUGAUACUGAACGUAAUCUGAGGUUUUUGCAGAAUUCUCCAAUAUCAACAUUUUGUCAAGCUGGGAAAAAACACAGAGCACAUCGUAAAAAAAAAGAUUUGCACAUUAUUUCACACACGUCCAAACACAAGCUCCAUUUUGUACUAGUCAGCCAAAAUACCACCUGGAUCACCUCGUAACUCAGCCAAAAAGAAUCCGACCGCUUUUAUUUAUUUAUUUUUUUGCAUUCAUAGCUCAGCCAAAACAAAAAAGGUGAAUUCAGGCGGUGCCAUGCCUCUGACACUGGACUGUGCAGUCAACUUAUUAUAUUAUCUGCUCUGUGUGUGUGCAUUAAGACUGUGUGAAUGCAUGUACAGUAUGUUUGUGUGUGAGUGUGUGGUGUGUGUUUCCACGCCUGCACCUCAAUGUGACCGUCCGGUGAAUGUGUAGCAUGCUUUCAUGCACGAGGCCCAGACUUUAAGUGUCGUACUUGCAUGUGGCGACUGAUCGCAACGAGACAUAAUACAACACUAAACCCAACCAAAUGCAGGCUCCGUUCUUAUACCUGGGAACCUUUGUGCUCUGAGAGGAUUUCACAGAUGUUGUACAACCGAAUAAGCUUCAAAAACACCUUUCUUCCUUGUAGUCAUCACUGCAGGUUGGGUUUACAAACCCAAAUCUUUUUCACGCUUCACAGCUCCAUAUUAUGUUGAUUAGGAGGAAUUCUAUACACUGAAAGAACAUUUUUCAUUUGCCAGGUUCAACUUAAAUCACAUACCUCCUUACCCAGGUAUAAGAGCUAUGGCUCCAUUUGUAAAGGAACUAAAACAUGUAGCAAAACUCACUGAUCUGUGGGAUGACUCCUCUCACAUCCUCCCUCAACAAUAUGCCUACUUCUUGUAUGUCCAUCUUCUCGACCACAACCUCUGCAAGCCAAAGUCCACAACGUUUGUUUACUUUUCACGUACAGAAGACUGUAGUUUCUUCAAAGUGAACACCUAAGAUACAACAGAGCUAACGACGUUUCUUGGGGAGGGUCUGCUAAUAAGCUACUUUAUCACAGGAGGACUGAUUUUCUUUUUUUCCUCACGGUCAACAGUGCAAUGAUCAUUUUUUAAAAAAUCCUAGUUGCUAGUAUUUCAUGAAAAAUUAAAAAGUAUUAGUCUAGACUCCAAUGGCUAUAUUUGUCCGGUGAAAAGUACAACCCUGACGGAGGAGUGAACUUAAAGAAAAAAGAAAAAAAAAGUAUUUUUCUACAGCUGUUUCCCAUCCACAGGCCCUCCUCGGGUAGGUGUGCACAGCAGAGCAGGGUGGAGUUAUCGGCCUUCACUUUCUGUGUUUUUGUUUAAUCACAAGGGGGCCUGGGAGAAACUGCUAAAAAUAUAUUUUUACCAACCGUAGUCUCUCUAGAAUGAUAAAGCUCAUUUAUAAACCAUAAUCCUUUCCUUUGAAGGAUUCUGAAAUGGUUGCUCUCGACAUCAAUAGGACUGUAGAAGGUUUAGGAGUUCAGAGUACUACAGAAAAACAUGCAGAAACUAUUUUAAUACAAUUCUAUGAAAAAUGGCGUAGUCAAAUCUUGCCACUAUUGCUUUUAAAGUCAGCUACUAUUCGUUUAUUUUGUCUCGGAGAGGGCGUGCCAUGUUCUUCCUGUGCUCUGUGUUCGCUGUGGCCAAGUGUCCAGUCAGUGUGUGUCGACUUGUUGAAAUUGGCUUCUCUCGCAACAACUAGAUAUUGUUUUUUCUCUUCUGUAUAUUUUGGCACAAAAGCUGUAUAACGUAGUUGUUUUUUAUGUUGAUUUUUUUAAAAAGGUUUUCUUCCAUAUGUGUGGUUCUUUUUGCUCCUGGGUGCACUGUUUUUUGCUGAGUUGUUGAUAUUGCUUCCAUGCAACAAUGAAAGUUAUUUAUUGCAAAU